rnacentral:rRNA from 1 species
UGCCAGACUCCUACGGGAGGCAGCAGUGGGGAAUAUUGGGCAAUGGGGGAAACCCUGACCCAGCGACGCCGCGUGAGGGAAGAAGGUUUUCGGAUUGUAAACCUCUGUCCUUGGUGACGAUAAUGACGGUAGCCAAGGAGGAAGCCACGGCUAAAUACGUGCCAGCAGCCGCGGUAAUACGUAUGGUGCAAGCGUUAUCCGGAUUUACUGGGUGUAAAGGGAGCGCAGGCGGCGCGUUAAGCCUGGUGUGAAAGCCCGCGGCCCAACCGCGGGACUGCAUUGGGAACUGGCGCGCUGGAGUGCCGGAGGGGUAGGCGGAAUUCCUAGUGUAGCGGUGAAAUGCGUAGAUAUUAGGAGGAACACCAGUGGCGAAGGCGGCCUACUGGACGGUGACUGACGCUGAGGCUCGAAAGCGUGGGGAGCAAACAGGAUUAGAUACCCCAGUA